GGCCCUUGUAGGACAUGUGAAUGCCAGUGCUCAUGGAGAAAGGUGGAGGAAGAGAGCCAGAGUGCAGUUCACCUCUGGGAGAGCAGACCAGAGUGGCUUCCGUGGGCACAUGCUGGAUUGAAGUGAGAAGACGUGACUACUAAAGUUGAGGCCCCAAGUCUCAGCUUCUUCCCCCUCCAAAGCAUGAGUGGAGGAUUCACUUAAGGCCACUUUGGUAAG
rnacentral:lncRNA from 1 species